rfam:Oryza nivara chromosome 5, whole genome shotgun sequence.
GAUUUCACCUAAAAAAGUCAUCAACAAUAAAGUUGUAUAACUCACCAAGAUCUAUAACUUUUAUGUUUGUUAUUUCUUCAUCUGAUAAAGUGUUAGUAAUAUUGUUCAUGAAAUUUACAUAUCUGUGUUAUAGUUUACAAACUAGAUGAGAGAUAUGUGAAUUUUAUAAACAAUGUUAUUAUCACUUUGUCAGAUGAAGAAAUGACCAAAAUAAAAGUUAUAGAUCUUGAUGAGUUAUACAACUUUGUUGUUGAUGACUUUUUCAGUUGAAAUC